GCCGGGGUAGCUCAGUUGGUAGAGCGCAAGGCUCUUAGUGGCCUCGUGUCCUAAAGCACACCUUGUGGUCGAGGGUUCGAGCCCCUCCUCCGGCG
rnacentral:tRNA from 1 species